rnacentral:lncRNA from 1 species
CAUCUGAUCAAAUGUUUGAGAAUCCCUGAAGAAUGAAUUAUGAAGAGUUGUAGUGGAACUGUCAGUAGAGUGAGAUUGUGAAAUGCAUGAUGAGAUAGUGACUUGCCGAAGACUUUUUCAACAUUUCAAUCAAUACCUAUCAGAGGAACUACUUCAAAUAAUCUGAAAGAAAGAUGUGACAGGAGGUCACUGAAAAAUUUCAACUGGAGGUGACCUCAAGUCAGUCACUAACUGUGGGGUCUGGAGCUUUUUGGAUAAGUUUGGCAUCAUUGUCCUAGCUGUGGGAUCCACAACCUCGUCUCUGUCUGAUCUAAACUUCUGGAUAAACACUAAAAAGGUGUCUCAUGCAAACCAGGGGAACUCCAUUUUGAACUGAUUAAAUAUUACAAACUGCUUCUAAAGGCUUCAUAUCCAAGGUCUGAAAAUAACACUGUUCCUGUACCUACUUUUACGUCCUAUGUACAUAAUAAAACUAAGUUGAUUCACCUGAAAGUUUACAUAUUGAUUCUGUUCCUUUUUUU